UACAGAGGGUGCGAGCGUUAAUCGGAUUUACUGGGCGUAAAGGGCGCGUAGGCGGUAUUUUGUGAGUGAUGUGAAAGCCCUGGGCUUAACCUAGGAAGUGCAUCGCAGACUAAGAUACUGGAGUAGAUGAGAGGGUGGCGGAAUUUCCGGUGUAGCGGUGAAAUGCGUAGAGAUCGGAAGGAACGUCGAUGGCGAAGGCAGCCACCUGGCAUCAUACUGACGCUGAGGCGCGAAAGCGUGGGGAUCGAACAGG
rnacentral:rRNA from 1 species